GCAGUCGAACGAUUAAACUUUCCUUCGGGAAAGAUAUAAAGUGGCGCACGGGUGAGUAACACGUAAGUAAUCUACCUUCGAGUGGGGAAUAACGUCCGGAAACGGACGCUAAUACCGCAUAACGCAGCGGCAUCGCAAGAUGACAGUUGUUAAAGGAGCAAUCCGCUUGAAGAGGAGCUUGCGGCAGAUUAGCUAGUUGGUAAGGUAACGGCUUACCAAGGCUACGAUCUGUAUCCGGUCUAAGAGGACGGUCGGACACACUGACACUGAAUAACGGGUCAGACUCCUACGGGAGGCAGCAGUCGGGAAUUUUGGGCAAUGGGCGAAAGCCUGACCCAGCAACGCCGCGUGAAGGAUGAAGUAUUUCGGUAUGUAAACUUCGAAGGAAUGGGAAGAAUCAAUGACGGUACCAUUUAUAAGCUCCGGCUAACUACGUGCCAGCAGCCGCGGUAAUACGUAGGGAGCAAGCGUUGUUCGGAUUUACUGGGCGUAAAGGGCGCGUAGGCGGCGCGACAAGUCACUUGUGAAAUCUCCGGGCUUAACUCGGAACGGCCAAGUGAAACUGUCAUGCUAGAGUGCAGAAGGGGCAAUCGGAAUUCUUGGUGUAGCGGUGAAAUGCGUAGAUAUCAAGAGGAACACCUGAGGUGAAGACGGGUUGCUGGGCUGACACUGACGCUGAGGCGCGAAAGCCAGGGGAGCA
rnacentral:rRNA from 1 species